GAUGAACGCUGGCGGCGUGCCUAAUACAUGCAAGUCGAGCGAACAGACGAGGAGCUUGCUCCUCUGACGUUAGCGGCGGACGGGUGAGUAACACGUGUAUAACCUACCUAUAAUACUGGGAUAACUUCGGGAAACCGGAGCUAAUACCGGAUAAUAUAUUGAACCGCAUGGUUCAAUAGUGAAAGACGGUUUUGCUGUCACUUAUAGAUGGAUCCGCGCCGCAUUAGCUAGUUGGUAAGGUAACGGCUUACCAAGGCGACGAUGCGUAGCCGACCUGAGAGGGUGAUAGGCCACACUGGAACUGAGACACGGUCCAGACUCCUACGGGAGGCAGCAGUAGGGAAUCUUCCGCAAUGGGCGAAAGCCUGACGGAGCAACGCCGCGUGAGUGAUGAAGGUCUUCGGAUCGUAAAACUCUGUUAUUAGGGAAGAACAAAUGUGUAAGUAACUAUGCACGUCUUGACGGUAACUAAUCAGAAAGCAACGGCUAACUACGUG
rnacentral:rRNA from 1 species